UACCAGCUGAUCAGAACACCACUAUUAUUAAAAAGAGAGAGAGAUGACUCAUUACUAAAAACCGCUUGAACUCUCCAACCCACAGAUACACACAUCUAAUUAUGUAUAUAUAGCCAACUUGCAAUGCAUUUCUACAUCUCUCUAUUAAGUUCUUGACACUUUUUGUUUUUUCUCCUUUUUAUUCUCAUUUUAUAGCUAGUACUACCUAAUAAAAAUGCCAAAUUUUAGACCAUUUCUUCACUUCACCACUAUUCUCAUUCUUCUUCUCAUCAACAAUUGUGAGCUAAUUCAUUGCCACACCAAAGGGCUUAGGCCAAAGAGAAGUGCAUGGAAGAAGCAAUUAACAGUGAACAUGACACAAGUUCAACAUUCUGAACACCAAUUCAUGCAGUGGGUACAAUUUGUUGGAAGCUUAAAGCAUUCCCUCUUCAAGACAGCCAAAAAUAAAUUGUUCCCUUCUUACACACUCACUGUUGAUAAAAAUCCUGCUCAUGGAGAUUUUACUUCAAUUCAAAAAGCCAUUGAUUCUCUUCCAUUUGUCAAUCUUAUUAGAGUUGUUAUCAAGGUCCAUGCAGGAGUUUACACGGAGAAAGUAAAUAUACCUCCAUUCAAAUCAUUCAUAACCAUACAAGGAGCAGGAGCAGAUAAAACAAUAAUUCAAUAUGGAGAUACAGCACAAACUGUUGGUCCAAAUGGAAAACCCCUUGGCACUUUUGGUUCAGCUACUUUUGCUGUGAAUUCACCUUAUUUCCAGGCCAAGAAUAUUACUUUCAAGAAUACAACACCAGUGCCACCACCAGGAGCAGUAGGAAAACAAGCAGUAGCAUUUAGAAUAUCAGCAGAUACAGCAGCCUUUGUGGGGUGUAAAUUCUUGGGGGCACAAGAUACACUUUAUGAUCAUUUGGGCAGACAUUAUUACAAAGAUUGUUAUAUUGAAGGCUCUGUGGAUUUCAUAUUUGGCAAUGCCCUUUCUUUUUUUGAGGGAUGUCAUUUGCAUGCAAUAGCACAGGUAACAGGUGCAGUAACAGCACAAGGAAGGAGCAGUAUGUUGGAGGACACUGGUUUCAGUUUUGUGAACUGUAAGGUCACAGGGUCAGGUGCAUUGUACCUAGGUAGGGCCUGGGGUCCCUUCUCUAGGGUCAUCUUUGCUUACACUUACAUGGACAACAUUAUCAUCCCUAAAGGCUGGCAUAAUUGGGGUGACCCUCUUCGUGAGAUGUAAGUUCCCUCCUGCUUCGUCAUUUCAUUUUAUAUGUUAGUGUUUAAUUGGAUACAAAAUUUAAAAGAGUUUAGAAAUCUGCAAAUUUUCCGCGGACAUUUUCAAUCAGUAUAUUAUCUAUGGAAAACAGUUUACUACAAGCACAUUUUCUAUGGAUUACAACGAAAAUUCAGUGGAAAAUUUGUGGUUUUCUAGUAAUAUAAGCUCUAUGCCACUUUGAAUUAUAUGAGCCACAACUCAAGUUACCAAUAUCACACAUGCACUGUAAACAAGCACAUUUUCUAUGGAUUACAACGAAAAUUCAGUGGAAAAUUUGUGGUUUUCUAGUAAUAUAAGCUCUAUGCCACUUUGAAUUAUAUGAGCCACAACUCAAGUUACCAAUAUCACACAUGCACUGUAAACUGAGGAAGAUUUGAGAU